rnacentral:rRNA from 1 species
UCAAAUGAAUUGACGGGGAGCACCACAACGGGUGGAGCUUGCGGUUUAAUUGGAUUCAACGCCGGAAAUCUUACCGGGACCGACAGCAAUAUGAAGGCCAGGCUGAAGACUUUGCCGGAUUAGCUGAGAGGCGGUGCAUGGCCGUCGUCAGUUCGUACUGUGAAGCAUCCUGUUAAGUCAGGCAACGAGCGAGACCCACGCCCACAGUUGCCAGCGUACUCUCUGGAGUGACGGGUACACUGUGGGGACCGCCGCUGCUAAAGCGGAGGAAGGAAUGGGCAACGGUAGGUCAGUAUGCCCCGAAUAUCCCGGGCUACACGCGAGCUACAAUGGUUGGUACAAUGGGUAUCUACCCCGAAAGGGGACGGAAAUCUCCUAAAACCAAUCUUAGUUCGGAUUGAGGGCUGCAACUCGCCCUCAUGAAGCUGGAAUCCGUAGUAAUCGCGUUCCAACAGAACGCGGUGAAUACGUCCCUGCUCCUU